UAGAGUGUCAAGCCGUCCUGGCUUGCCUGGGACUGAGGAGUUUUCUGGAACAGGAAACUCUCUGUGUUAAAACCAGGUU
rnacentral:miRNA from 1 species